rnacentral:rRNA from 1 species
UGGGGAAUAUUGGACAAUGGGCGCAAGCCUGAUCCAGCCAUGCCGCGUGAGUGACGAAGGCCUUAGGGUUGUAAAGCUCUUUUGGCGGGGAAGAUAAUGACGGUACCCGCAGAAUAAGCUCCGGCUAACUUCGUGCCAGCAGCCGCGGUAAUACGAAGGGAGCUAGCGUUGUUCGGAAUCACUGGGCGUAAAGCGCACGUAGGUGGGCAGUUAAGUCAGGGGUGAAAGCCCGAGGCUCAACCUCGGAAUUGCCUCUGAUACUGGCUGUCUAGAGUCCGAGAGAGGUGGGUGGAAUUCCUAGUGUAGAGGUGAAAUUCGUAGAUAUUGGGAAGAACACCAGUGGCGAAGGCGGCUAACUGGUCCGGUACUGACGCUGAGGUGCGAAAGCGUGGGGAG